UUUUGCCAGCGGCAGUUUUUUUUUUCUCGAUGCCGGUGAAGAUCUGGUAAGGAAACCCAAAAUUUAAACAGCAUGUAAUGCAUAAUCAUCCGGUUUCAUCGACUACGCGGGAAUACACCACUUCGAAAGCGCUAGCGGAUUCAUAAAAUUUUCUAAUCCGUAAAGAUCUGCUUGUGAACCUUGGAAAGGUAAAGUUGUUGAGUGUUCCGUACACUAAAAUGGUCCUGAAAACACACCUCAAAGUAUCCCGCCUUCCACCCUCGGUAAUGGUGGAGACCGUGACUAGAUCAUCCGUUC